CCUACGGGGGGCAGCAGUCGAGAAUCAUUCACAAUGGGGGAAACCCUGAUGGUGCGACGCCGCGUGGGGGAAUGAAGGUCUUCGGAUUGUAAACCCCUGUCAUGUGGGAGCAAAUUAAAAAGAUAGUACCACAAGAGGAAGAGACGGCUAACUCUGUGCCAGCAGCCGCGGUAAUACAGAGGUCUCAAGCGUUGUUCGGAAUCACUGGGCGUAAGGCGUGCGUAGGCUGUUUCGUAAGUCGUGUGUGAAAGGCGCGGGCUCAACCCGCGGACGGCACAUGAUACUGCGAGACUAGAGUAAUGGAGGGGGAACCGGAAGUCUCGGUGUAGCAGUGAAAUGCGUAGAUAUCGAGAGGAACACUCGUGGCGAAGGCGGGUUCCUGGACAUUAACUGACGCUGAGGCACGAAGGCCAGGGGAGCGAAAGGGAUUAGAUACCCUGGUAGUC
rnacentral:rRNA from 1 species